GACGAACGCUGGCGGCGUGCUUAACACAUGCAAGUCGAGCGGUAAGGCCCUUUCGGGGGUACACGAGCGGCGAACGGGUGAGUAACACGUGGGUGACCUGCCCUCAGCUCUGGGAUAAGCCUGGGAAACCGGGUCUAAUACCGGAUAUGACUCCAUGACGCAUGUUGUGGGGUGGAAAGCCUUGUGCGGCUGAGGAUGGGCCCGCGGCCUAUCAGCUUGUUGGUGGGGUGAUGGCCUACCAAGGCGACGACGGGUAGCCGGCCUGAGAGGGCGACCGGCCACACUGGGGACUGAGACACGGCCCAGACUCCUACGGGAGGCAGCAGUGGGGAAUCUUGCGCAAUGGGCGAAAGCCUGACGCAGCGACGCCGCGUGAGGGAUGACGGCCUGG
rnacentral:rRNA from 1 species